UCUAAAUUGUCCCUAGUUGUCAGUGUAAAUGGUUGUUCGUUUCUGUGUGCCCUGCGAUUGGCUGGCAACCGAUUCAGGGUGUCCCCCGCCUACUGCCCGGAGACAGCUGGGAUAGGCUCCAGCACCCCCCGCGACCCUAGUGAGGAUCAAGCGGUUCGGAAGAUGAAUGAAUGAAUGAGUCUAGCACAUUGGUUCUUAACCUGGGUUCGAUCAAACCCCAGGCUUUCGGUGAAUCAUUCUCAUGGGUUCGACGGAGACUCUGCCAUGGAGGUUAAGACACAGCAGACUCAAAAUGUCAUUUAGUUAUGACACACCCGCUUGGCCAUCACUGCCUACAGAUGAUCACAUUACAUUUGCUUGUCCAAUCAGUGCUGCGGGAAAUUUAGUUCGCUCAGUAGUCAGCGUGUGACUGUUGUGAUAGUACGAUUCACGCGCAUCACGGAACGUGAUGGCACUCGGCGUCCUAUCUGCAUGAUUUGGCAUGCCAAGUUGAGCAACUCCAGUCUCGCACCGGCAAAAUUGAAGGAAUACUUCUCGAAUCAUAUUUUUAUAUUUCACGAAGGGUUGAUCUGCCUAUGAACUGGUUGGGUUUGGUACCUCUAACAAGGUUAAGAACCACUGGUCUAGCAUAUCAAACAGACAAACGGGAAAAAAAUGCUGUAUUGGAAAAAUACUUUAUCAUUUUAGUUUUCUCGCUUCAAAGAACCUUUGGUGGGUUCAGUUAUUGAUUAAACCUGUUGUAAAUUUUAUCAUACAUUGUCACGGUGGUUGUUUUUAUGUCUUUGAGUUUGUUUUACUCAUUGACUCGAGGCAGGUCACCCGCAUUUCCACGUGUUGCUUGGGUA